AGCGUGUCUCAAAGGAGCAGUGAUCUUUGUCUGUCUCUCUGUUCACCUUAUGUUACUUUUAAUUGCUUUACCUUUUUAUACCUUUAAUGGACUUGGAUAUGAUUUUAAAGGUUAGUUGAGAGAUAGUUCUGGCGUUGUCUAGGCUCAGUGAUCUCCAGGCCUCCAUGACUCCAGGCAGGUGUAAAUAAAAUAGUGAACUCCUCCCGCUGCCAUGAUGGAAAAUGAAACGGCCUCUCCAGCUAGAAAAACAAGUGGUGUGUGGGCUUCGUGAAGUGGCGCAGCACUGGGUCACUGGAGAGCCAAAGUGAGUGUCACCAGGUGCCAGAAGAAAGAAGAAUGUGUACCAAAAGACCUUAACAAGACUAUGGUAGGACUUCAGGGGUGAAUGUAAAACUACUCUUCCUU
rnacentral:lncRNA from 1 species